UACAGGGGGGGCAAGCGUUGUUCGGAAUUACUGGGCGUAAAGGGCGCGUAGGCGGUUUACCAAGUCAGGCGUGAAAGGCCUGGGCUCAACCCGGGAACUGCGCUUGAUACUUGUAGACUUGAGUCCGGGAGAGGAUGGCGGAAUUCCCAGUGUAGAGGUGAAAUUCGUAGAUAUUGGGAAGAACACCGGUGGCGAAGGCGGCCAUCUGGACCGGAACUGACGCUGAGGCGCGAAAGCGUGGGGAGCAAACAGG
rnacentral:rRNA from 1 species